rnacentral:rRNA from 1 species
UACGUAGGGUCCGAGCGUUGUCCGGAAUUAUUGGGCGUAAAGGGCUCGUAGGCGGUUUGGUAGGUCCGCUGUGAAAACUCGAGGCUCAACCUCGAGAUGUCGGCGGAAACCACUUGGCUAGAGUCCGGAAGAGGAGAGUGGAAUUCCUGGUGUAGCGGUGAAAUGCGCAGAUAUCAGGAGGAACACCAAUAGCGAAGGCAGCUCGCUGGGACGCAACUGACGCUGAGACGCGAAAGCGUGGGGAGCAAACAGG